rnacentral:rRNA from 1 species
GAAUAUUGGACAAUGGGCGAAAGCCUGAUCCAGCCAUGCCGCGUGUGUGAAGAAGGUCUUCGGAUUGUAACGCACUUUAAGUUGGGAGGAAGGGCAGUAAGCGAAUACCUUGCUGUUUUGACGUUACCGACAGAAUAAGCACCGGCUAACUCUGUGCAAGCCGCCGCGGUAAUCCAGAGGGUGCAAGCGUUAAUCGGAAUUACUGGGAGUAAAGUGCGCGUAGGUGGGUCGUUAAGUGGGAUGUGAAAUCCCCGGGCUCAACCUGGGAACUGCAUCCAAAACUGGCGAGCUAGAGGAGGGCAGGGGGUGGUGGAAUUUCCUGUGUAGCGGUGAAAUGCGUAGAUAUAGGAAGGAACACCAGUGGCGAAGGCGACCACCUGGGCUCAUACUGACACUGAGGUGCGAAAGCGUGGGGAGCAAACA